rnacentral:rRNA from 1 species
UGUUCCUACGGGGCGCAGCAGUGAGGAAUAUUGGUCAAUGGGAGAGAUCCUGAACCAGCCAAGCCGCGUGAUGGAAGACGGCCCUAUGGGUUGUAAACCUCUUUUGUCGGAGAACAAAACCCGGGACGUGUCCCGGACUGCGUGUAUCCGAAGAAAAAGCAUCGGCUAACUCCGUGCCACCAGCCGCGGUAAUACGGAGGAUGCGAGCGUUAUCCUGAUUUAUUGGGUUUAAAGGGUGCGUAGGCUGUCCGUUCAGUCA